rnacentral:rRNA from 1 species
UACCGAGUUUACAACUCCCAAACCCAAUGUGAACGUUACCAAACUGUUGCCUCGGCGGGAUCUCUGCCCCGGGUGCGUCGCAGCCCCGGACCAAGGCGCCCGCCGGAGGACCAACCUAAAACUCUUAUUGUAUACCCCCUCGCGGGUUUUUUUAUAAUCUGAGCCUUCUCGGCGCCUCUCGUAGGCGUUUCGAAAAUGAAUCAAAACUUUCAACAACGGAUCUCUUGGUUCUGGCAUCGAUGAAGAACGCAGCGAAAUGCGAUAAGUAAUGUGAAUUGCAGAAUUCAGUGAAUCAUCGAAUCUUUGAACGCACAUUGCGCCCGCCAGUAUUCUGGCGGGCAUGCCUGUCCGAGCGUCAUUUCAACCCUCGAACCCCUCCGGGGGGUCGGCGUUGGGGAUCGGCCCUCCCUUAGCGGGUGGCCGUCUCCGAAAUACAGUGGCGGUCUCGCCGCAGCCUCUCCUGCGCAGUAGUUUGCACACUCGCAUCGGGAGCGCGGCGCGUCCACAGCCGUUAAACACCCAACUUCUGAAAUGUUGACCUCGGAUCAGGUAGGAAUACCCGCUGAACUUAAGCAUAUCAAUAAGCGGAGGAAAAGAAACCAACAGGGAUUGCCCCAGUAACGGCGAGUGAAGCGGCAACAGCUCAAAUUUGAAAUCUGGCCCCUAGGGUCCGAGUUGUAAUUUGUAGAGGAUGCUUUUGGUGAGGUGCCGCCCGAGUUCCCUGGAACGGGACGCCACAGAGGGUGAGAGCCCCGUCUGGCUGGCCGCCGAGCCUCUGUAAAGCUCCUUCGACGAGUCGAGUAGUUUGGGAAUGCUGCUCAAAAUGGGAGGUAUAUGUCUUCUAAAGCUAAAUAUUGGCCAGAGACCGAUAGCGCACAAGUAGAGUGAUCGAAAGAUGAAAAGCACCUUGAAAAGAGGGUUAAAUAGUACGUGAAAUUGUUGAAAGGGAAGCGCUUGUGACCAGACUUGGGCGCGGCGGAUCAUCCGGGGUUCUCUCCGGUGCACUUCGCCGCGUCUAGGCCAGCAUCAGUUCGUCGCGGGGGAAAAAGGCUUCGGGAACGUGGCUCCUCCGGGAGUGUUAUAGCCCGUUGCAUAAUACCCUGCGGUGGACU